UACUGUCCACUUACCUCAGCGAGAUCCAUGAAAACAACAUCUGAAAAUAAUAACCCUACAAUAUCAUGAAAUCAUAUACACUUAAUAACACAACAUAUAUCACACCUUUAUAUUUCAAUCAUCAGGAAACAGAUUUCCUCUUUUACCAGCCUACUAGUAUCACUGGGGAUCCAUAGGGGUUCCCCUCUACACGUGAACCCUUAACAUUUAUAACCUGAUUCCAGGGUCGUCCCCAUACCCCGUCCGGUAUGGGCACCAAAACCAUGAACCUCAAUACCCCGUCCGGUAUGAGGGUGAAACGGGCCGUCCCCAUACCCCGUCCGGUAUGGGCGCCAAAACACAUAAGGUCUCCAUACCCCGUCUGGUAUGAGAGACCACGUUCCCGGUAGGGUUCCCUACGGACCUGGUCCAUCCACCAUCUCCCAAGAUAUCUAGUCAGGCUAUCCACAUUAUCCACUUAUCAAUUCACAUAACCCUUUUGCCUUUUUCCUUAAUCUCAUUCAUCUAAUCAUACAAAACAUGUAAACCAGUAAUUGACACCAAAUAAGACAAU
rnacentral:lncRNA from 1 species